rnacentral:rRNA from 1 species
AUUGAACGCUGGCGGCAGGCCUAACACAUGCAAGUCGAACGGUAACAGGAAACAGCUUGCUGUUUCGCUGACGAGUGGCGGACGGGUGAGUAAUGUCUGGGAAACUGCCUGAUGGAGGGGGAUAACUACUGGAAACGGUAGCUAAUACCGCAUAACGUCGCAAGACCAAAGAGGGGGACUUUCGGGCCUCUUGCCAUCGGAUGUGCCCGGGUGGGAUUAGCUAGUAGGUGGGGUAAGGGUUCACCUAGGCGACGAUCCCUAGCCGGUCUGAGAGGUUGACCAGCCACACUGGAACUGAGACACGGUCCAGACUCCUACGGGAGGCAGCAGUGGGGAAUAUUGCACAAUGGGCGGAAGCCUGAUGCAGCCAUGCCGCGUGUAUGAAAAAGGCCUUCGGGUUGUAAAAUUCUUUCAGCGGGGAAGAAGGGAGUAAAGUUAAUACCUUUACUCAUUGACGGUACCCGCAGAAGAAGCAACGGCUAACUCCGUG